rnacentral:rRNA from 1 species
UACGUAGGGUGCGAGCGUUGUCCGGAAUUAUUGGGCGUAAAGAGCUCGUAGGCGGUGUGUCACGUCGGCCGUGAAAACCUGCAGCUUAACUGUGGGCGUGCGGUCGAUACGGGCAUCACUGGAGUUCGGCAGGGGAGACUGGAAUUCCUGGUGUAGCGGUGAAAUGCGCAGAUAUCAGGAGGAACACCGGUGGCGAAGGCGGGUCUCUGGGCAGUAACUGACGCUGGAGGAGCGAAAGCGUGGGGAGCAAACAGG